UAAGACGAACCGUCCGAACGUUAUUCGGAAUUACUGGGCUUAAAGGGUGCGUAGGCGGCGCAGAAAGUAGGGUGUGAAAUCCCUCGGCUCAACCGAGGAACUGCGCCCUAAACUACUGUGCUUGAGGAAGAUAGAGGUGAGCGGAACUUAGGGUGGAGCGGUGAAAUGCGUUGAUAUCCUAAGGAACACCGGUGGCGAAGGCGGCUCACUGGAUCUUUUCUGACGCUGAGGCACGAAAGCUAGGGGAGCGAACGGGAUUAGAUACCCCGGUAGUCCUAGCUGUAAACGAUGAGCACUGGAUCGAAGGGACCCCCAUAUCCUUUUGGUCGAACCGAAAGAGUUAAGUGCUCCGCCUGGGGAGUAUGGUCGCAAGGCUG
rnacentral:rRNA from 1 species